GCACACGUCUGUAUGCAUCUGCAUCCAGAAGGCAUUCGAAGCUAUAGGGAAAUAGUUGGGUGGAAUUGGCAACAUUUUAAAUUUAGUUUAAACAAUAUACUGUGAAAGUACUUGGAAGGAAUUUCCAAACCGCUCAGCGUUUUCUGGCCGUCCAGCGGCCAUCUUGGCCUCGGGGGAAGUUGUGUGAGACUGAAGCCUUGCGAUCCCUCCUCGCCACCGCCACCUUCAGGCCGAGCUGUGUACUGUUUUUGGCACCAACGUUUAUCAAAGGCGUAACAACCCGAGAUUGUGAUUUUCUCGGAUGCCUCCCGAGGCCUUUCAACGGCUCACAGCUCACUAUGCUAGCAGCGCUAACGUUGCAGCGCUUACCUGCGGGGGCGAACCCGGAGGGAGGGUGCUACGGUUCCCACGGCGACGUUGUAACCGCCGUGUGAGGGCAGUGCAGAGAGCUAGCCACAAAAAGAGCUAGCCCCAAAACCUGCACCAGAUAUUAAGGAUUAGCUGGGAAAACCACUUCAUCCUCGUGUAGACAGCACCACAGCCGAAAUGUUAAGACUCCUUUAUUUGUAACCCCGACUUCGUUUUUCAGCAUGUGACCUUGUUGAAUCAACAGUGUGAGAUUGUGAGUUUCAUUUUUAUCUUCAACACAAGUGUCUUUCCAUUUAUCAUGAAAAACACCUCCUGCCAUUGUCCUCUAUUGCAGCGUUCCACCUUCCUCGAACAAUUCCUCCGCUGGGGAUAGACUCAUAUAACUCCGACUUUCCUGUUUCGUCCGCAUUGUUUGCCCUCGCAGAGAUACGGACCGGCUUUGAGUUGAUGAUUCACCUGGCUCAGCGGUGCCACCGGGUUCAGCACUCGACCCGCGGGUGAACUAAAAUAUCCUCAUCAUACUGCCCCCCUUUCUCAAACACUGAAGGUUCUACCUUUUAUGUAUUUAACGUAAUUCUUCCUGCGUCCAUGUUUGUACAACGGCGUUGAGUGGCCGCCGUAACUUUGAUUAAUGUGUUUUCCUUUCAUUCAGGCUUGUUGUUACAGUUGUUGGUGCAGUACGAGGCGGUUUUGAGGCCUCUCUGGUAAACUCCCGCUGCUUCUCAUCGCUUCUGCAAUGUUUACCAUCUUGAUUGCUCGAAUAAAAAGCAUCGGACACGAAAGCGCUUUGCAAAGGCAAACGUAUGUUGAGAAACACACUGAAGUUUCUGUCUCUUUAAGAUCUUGAUGGCUUCUCCGCCGCUCCCUCGAGGUCGCUGGCCUUCCUCAGGCCGCCUGCCAACUGCCAUGUUACUGUCGAGCGUUUGCAGAAAUGCCAGCAAAGCCAUUAGUCCGCAGCCCUUUUCAACAGUCAGCAGACUGGACAGCGUGAGCGGCGCGGCGGUGUGGAGGAACACGAGGCCCGGCCUUAUGAAAAUACAACACACGUCACUUUUCUUUCUUUUAUAUCCUUUCGCACGUGUGCUUGUUCUGCCGUGAGUUCUAAAGGCAGGACUGAGAUCGCGUUUGAGGUUGUAGUGAACCACCUUUUCGUGAGAGAAAAGUACGUUUUCUGAACCGUUGUGGAAUAUCACUGUUGAAGUUAAGCCAGUCAUGUACCUCCAUCUGCCCCCUGGCGUCUCACAGAGGAGCCGUGUUUGUUUUGUCUCUUGAGGCACAGCAGCAUCUGGUGGUUGACUGAUGACAUCACACUUUUCUAACAUCAUCCUGCUCCACACUCACACUGCUGCACGUACAAAUACAGCCCAAUGAAGAGAACUUUCACUUUUCACCUGUAGCUAUAAACCACAUCUAAUUGCAAUGCUAUUUGUGCAGUGUGCGCUCCUUGUGUUUAGCCAUGACACUAAAUGAAAACUUUUUACCUAACUUGAAUCUUCCUCACUUUCCUCCGGUAUGUCUCUUUCUCGGGAACCUCCACAGAAAUGCUCACAGAUGGUGAGUUGCUGAUUACAGCAGGCUAAUCCCAGUUGAAGCCCUGGGCCUCCUGGUUGUGUGGUCGAUUGGGGGGAACCUGUUGCUUUGUCAGAAAGCCUCUUAGAAGUCGGGUCAUGUGACCCCUCUGUGGGCCACAGGGCGUGCAAGGAGCCUUGUGCACACUCCUGAAACGGAUUGAGACAAACUGCUGCCAAUUGGUUAGAGAACAUAUGCAUACAUGCAGGGCAAAACACACAGGUCUUGCAUUGGAUCUUUUGUCUGACGUUACUUGUUACUGUUUGCUCAUAAAGACCAAAAUCUGGAUGUGCUGUAACCUCGUUACCCAUCAGCCAUGCCCCUGCACAAUCGCAUCCCGAGAGAGGCCUGGGCGCAAGACGGGUAGGUCAACAUCACCACACAACAACGCGGAACAUUGCAAAUACAUGCAUAAGUUUGAAGCAUUUCCCAUAUGAGAGCAUGUAAGUGUUGGCUGCGCACCUCAUUAUACUGCUACAUGAAGCCCUGCGACCUUCUGAUUGGUCAUUACUCAUUUUACCACACCCACUUUAAGCUGGUACUAGCCGAGUCGUAGGAAACUAAUUCACACGGAAGGUUCACUUGUUGUCAGGCAGACCCAAACUUCAUCUAAUCAAUCAGCAUCUUUUUUAUCACAAUUUUGUUAAACUAGGCAUUUCAUAUUCCAGCCUUUCUUUGAAGAAUUAUUUGCUGGUUUCUUUAUCUUCUUUGGAAUUAAAUUAGAUAUUGUUGAGUCAAUAUGAAUAUUACAUUUUAUUCACCAAUCGAUUAAUCGAUGAAUCCAGAAUAUUAACAGAUAAAUUGACAAUGAGACUAAUUGUUUGUCAUUGUUCUAUUCCAUAAUCACACAUAUAACUACAUAAAUAACAUGAACAACGUCCCACAGGUAUUUUUACAUAACAGAAUUUAUUUUUUAUUAAUGAUGGAAUUGAUGAAGAACAACAGCAAAUAUAAUUACAUAAUAUGCACAUUUAAUUGUUUUUAUUUCAGGAUUCAAGAGCUUGACGAUUCGGCCACGCAGCUGCAAGUUCAAAAACUCUUUAGAAGAUAAAAAAGAAGAAAGAGGAGACUAACGGCACAACAGAUGCCGAGAUGAAUGUUAAAGAAGCAAAGCCUAAAAAGACAAAGAUUAAGAAGCAGGAAGAUGUGUCCGAUGAGGGAAGUCCUGCCGUCCAGAAUGGAAAGAAGGUGAA